AUGAACGCUAGCUACAGGCUUAACACAUGCAAGUCGAGGGGCAGCAUUUUAGUUUGCUUGCAAACUGAAGAUGGCGACCGGCGCACGGGUGAGUAACACGUAUCCAACCUGCCGAUAACUCCGGAAUAGCCUUUCGAAAGAAAGAUUAAUACCGGAUAGUAUACGAAUAUCGCAUGAUAUUUUUAUUAAAGAAUUUCGGUUAUCGAUGGGGAUGCGUUCCAUUAGUUUGUUGGCGGGGUAACGGCCCACCAAGACUACGAUGGAUAGGGGUUCUGAGAGGAAGGUCCCCCACAUUGGAACUGAGACACGGUCCAAACUCCUACGGGAGGCAGCAGUGAGGAAUAUUGGUCAAUGGGCGAGAGCCUGAACCAGCCAAGUAGCGUGAAGGAUGAAGGCUCUAUGGGUCGUAAACUUCUUUUAUAUGGGAAUAAAGUUUUCCACGUGUGGAAUUUUGUAUGUACCAUAUGAAUAAGGAUCGGCUAACUCCGUGCCAGCAGCCGCGGUAAUACGGAGGAUCCGAGCGUUAUCCGGAUUUAUUGGGUUUAAAGGGAGCGUAGGUGGAUUGUUAAGUCAGUUGUGAAAGUUUGCGGCUCAACCGUAAAAUUGCAGUUGAAACUGGCAGUCUUGAGUACAGUAGAGGUGGGCGGAAUUCGUGGUGUAGCGGUGAAAUGCUUAGAUAUCACGAAGAACUCCGAUUGCGAAGGCAGCUCACUAGACUGUCACUGACACGGAUGCUCGAAAGUGUGGGUAUCAAACAGGAUUAGAUACCCUGGUAGUCCACACAGUAAACGAUGAAUACUCGCUGUUUGCGAUAUACAGUAAGCGGCCAAGCGAAAGCAUUAAGUAUUCCACCUGGGGAGUACGCCGGCAACGGUGAAACUCAAAGGAAUUGACGGGGGCCCGCACAAGCGGAGGAACAUGUGGUUUAAUUCGAUGAUACGCGAGGAUCCGUACCCGGGUUUAACUUGCAACAGAAUAUAUUGGAAACAGUAUAGCCGUAAGGCUGUUGUGAAGGUGCUGCAUGGUUGUCGUCAGCUCGUGCCGUGAGGUGUCGGCUCAAGUGCCAUAACGAGCGCAACCCUUAUCUUUAGUUACUAACAGGUGAUGCUGAGGACUCUAGAGAGACUGCCGUCGUAAGAUGUGAGGAAGGUGGGGAUGACGUCAAAUCAGCACGGCCCUUACGUCCGGGGCUACACACGUGUUACAAUGGGGGGUACAGAAGGCGGCUACCUGGUGACAGGAUGCUAAUCCCAAAAACCUCUCUCAGUUCGGAUCGAAGUCUGCAACCCGACUUCGUGAAGCUGGAUUCGCUAGUAAUCGCGCAUCAGCCAUGGCGCGGUGAAUACGUUCCCGGGCCUUGUACACACCGCCCGUCAAGCCAUGAAAGCCGGGGGUACCUGAAGUACGUAACCGCAAGGAGCGUCCUAGGGUAAAACUGGUAAUUGGGGCU
rnacentral:rRNA from 1 species